rnacentral:misc_RNA from 1 species
GAUGAAGAACGCAGCGAAAUGCGAUAAGUAAUGUGAAUUGCAGAAUUCAGUGAAUCAUCGAAUCUUUGAACGCACCUUGCACCCUUUGGCAUUCCGAAGGGUAUGCUCGCUUGAGUGUCAUUGUACUCUCACACUCCCAAUUGCUUUGGAUUGGGAGCGGUGGACUUGGGUGUUGCUGCUUGACUGAGGCUCACCUGAAAUAUGUUAGUGCACCUCUUGAUUGGACAUAGUACGGCGUGAUAAGUGUCUUCGCCGGCUCCUCGCAAAGAGGGUGGCCGAUCGGGAGCUCUGUUGCUUCAAACUGUCUUCGGACAAUCUUCUGGCGACUUGACCUCAAAUCGAGUAGGACUACCCGCUGAACUUAAGCAUAUCAAUAAGCGGAGGA